rnacentral:lncRNA from 1 species
CUCAUUCUGUCUUGCCGCCACAAUGUAAGAAUUGUCUCUCACCCUCUGCCAUGUAAGAAUUCUCUUUCACCCUCUGCCGUGAUCGUGAGACCUUCCCCAGCCAUGUGAAACUUUUUCAGCUUUCCUCCACUGUUUUGGGAAACGUCACCUUCUUAUCUUGGAAGAGUAAUCUCAAAAUUGAAGCAUCUUAGAUCCAACAAGAAUUAAAAGGAUGGGAAGUCCUUGCAGCCAUCCAAUAGAGUCAGAAGACUUUGGAUUUUGGAGUCUGUGAGAUGAUGUACUCACAUCCCAACAAAUUGAAAAUGCUGACCAAUCCCAGCACAGCCAACUCGAAUUUGCUCCUUCAUCAAAGUGACCAGCACCUCAUUUCUUCCUCUUUAGAAUUUAUAGAGUCCUAUGGCUAUUGAUAUCUAACAUCCUGGCUUCACUCACAUGGAUGAGCCCCACCUGGAAUGCCUAGAAGACGUGGGACAGCUGGAUCUCUCUCCACACGGUUUUUCAUUGUUGCCUCAGGUUCCAAUAAAAGCAAAAGCUGCAAGGUCUUCUGAGGCAAAGACUUAGAAAUACCACAAUGUUACUUCUGCUGCAUUCUGUUGAUAAAAGAAUCCCACAAUGCCAGCUUCAUUUAAAGGGGUAAAGAUAUAGAUUAUUCACCUUCGAUGGGAGGAACUGCAAAUGAUGUAAUUAGUGAUAAUUUUUAAUAUACUGUAAUGUAUUGACUUAUCUUUAAAAAAUGAAAAAAUAAACCAAAAACUAAAAGCAAAA